GUGUUGUAUGAAAGGAGAGAAGGUUGGCAUUCCAUUUGACAAGGAUGGAAGAGGCCCUCGGUCCUGACAACAAGCAUUUAGUUAAGGCAUUGCCACUUACUUCGUGGCAUCUAACCAUUAUUUAAA
ensembl:snRNA RNU6ATAC21P RNA, U6atac small nuclear 21, pseudogene